UACGGAGGGGGCUAGCGUUGUUCGGAAUUACUGGGCGUAGAGCGUACGUAGGCGGCUUUGUAAGUUAGAGGUGAAAGCCCGGGGCUCAACUCCGGAAUUGCCUUUAAGACUGCAUCGCUUGAAUCAUGGAGAGGUUAGUGGAAUUCCGAGUGUAGAGGUGAAAUUCGUAGAUAUUCGGAAGAACACCAGUGGCGAAGGCGACUAACUGGACAUGUAUUGACGCUGAGGUACGAGAGCGUGGGGAGCAAACAGG
rnacentral:rRNA from 1 species